AGAAAAAGAAACACAGGGUACCCAACUAAAUGUGAAUUUCAGAUUUUAAUUUGAAAUUCAGAUGAAGUCAACAAAAAGGUUUUCAUGUCAGUAUGUUUCAUGCAAUAUUUGGAAUCUACUUCUACUUAAAAAUUUUGUGCGGUUUAUUUGAAAUGCAAAUUUAAUUGGACAUCCCGUAAUUUAUCUGCCAACCCUAGUCUAUUGAAAUUAAUAAAGAAUGGGCCUCACAUUCCAAAAGGAUGGCAUGUCAACAUAGACAUGAAGAUUAUAAGUUAGGUCUGAUAUGGGUCUUGUUUUUAUUUUACGUGGUGAGGAAAAAGUAAUGUACUUGUGUUUAUAAAUUGAUUUUUGGGGAGCUCUUUCUUACCUCUUAAUUCCUACUUCCAUUUCCCAAAAACAUAGCCAUGCUUAUUUACUCUUUAGCAUGAGCAAAAAUGAUGACUCUGUCCUCAAUCAAAUUAUUGGGAUAAAUAGUAAUAAUGUGCUCAGUAUGUAUUUUAUUUUAUUUUAUUUUAUUUUAAUCUUUUUAGGGCCACACUCACAGCAGAUGGAAGGUCCCAGGCUAGGGGUCGACAAAUUAGAGCUACAGUUGCCGGCCUACACCACAGCCAUAGCAACACCAGACCUGAGCCACAUCUGUGAUCUAUACCACAGCUCACGGCAACACCAGAUCUUUAACUCACUGAUUGAGGCCAGGAAUUGAACCUCAUCCUCACGGAUGCAGGUUGGGUUCAUUACUGCUGAGCCAUGACAGGAACAGCCCAACAGUGUUUACUGAGGGCAAACUGAAUGGCAGGUACCAUUUCAAGGAUGACCAAGACACGCCCUGGAGGCUAAGGAAAUGACAGUCUAGAGAGCAAGCCGAUACAGGUAAACACAGGACUGUGGGUUUUCCAAGAAGUGAGUUAUUAAUUGUCCAUGGAAGGAGUGGAAGUUAAAGGCCUCCUUACUGCACAGGAGCCAAGGCAAAGGGGCUCUGAUCCAGAUGAGCUAAGGAGAGAAGCCCCAGGGUGUCAGCUGUGCCUACGCCUGGAAACUAGCCCAUCCUCAUUGAAGUGGUUAUGCUAGAGACAACAAUGGGAUUCAAUAAAAUGGAAAGUGUGAUUGGGAGGCCCUUAGAAGGUAACAGAAUACAAAGGGAAAAAUAUAAAAGCUUAAAUUACUUAAAUUUCAAAGGUAAAAAAUUUAAAGUUAAAACUAGGAACUCCAAGGGGGAAAAUGUCCAGGAAAUGCAUGAUGUAAGUAGGAGGUAACUUAAAAUGGGUUGAUUUUGAGCUAUUGGGUGGAGAGACCCUUAAACUUGAAAUCCAAAAAUAUAUUUCUCUGAACAGCCCAGAGAUGAAAAUGUGAUCUGAGUAUUUCACUGGACCACAGAGAACAGUGGUCACAUAGUCCAACAGUGCAAACAUGCUUAAUGAUUUUCAGCUUUUUGGAUCACCUUUUAAAUAUGCCAAUGAAGAAUUAACUAUGAUUACAUGGAGAACGUAAAUAUGAUUGAUUUUUAAAAUGUAGAAAGUAAGCAGGUAGAAGGAGGUACAAGUAAGGAGUCGGCUGGAGAUAAGUUUGAGUGACUAGGGGUCUCAUUUUAUUUUUUCUUUUUCAGCCACACCCACAGCAUAUGGAAGUUCCCGAGCCAGGGAUGGAAUCCUAGCCAGAGGAUUGUGACUUAUGCCACAGAUGCAGCAGUGCCAUAUGCUUUACUCACUGCACCACAGCCGGAACUCCAAUAAGGGUCUCAUGCUAAAAAGAUAAGAGUCAAGAGAUAAUGUCCGUAGUUAGUAGAACAAAAAAAUAAAGGUCUGGAUGCUUUAUUUGUAACUUUGCAGAGGAGAAGAUGCAGCAGAGGGCCUGAGUAUAGAGAUGUAAGUCUAUUAGGAGAAUUAGGGAAGAGAAAAGAUAGGACCAGGGUCUAUGUGAGCUAAAUACUCACUUUCCUAGUAGAAAUUAACUAGACCGUACCUAAGAUGAUACACCAAGGAAUAGUAAUAUAGCAUAUUAUUUUGUAAACAGGGAGAUCCCCAGAUAUCUAGAAAGGAAAAUCACUGGGUGAUUAAUCUUUGGGGAAUUGGGCUGAAGCUGGGAUGGGUUGGGGUGGAGACCCUGGAUUUUCUCUGUUGAUACUAUGGUACUUUUAACUAAUUGAGGUAUAUGCAUGAUUAUACUGACUAAAUAUUUAAAAUUUUUAAAAUAGGAAUUUGUGAAAAGGAAGGCUUCACCAAGAUGGCGGCUUUCAAGAAUGCGUAGGAGUUUAUCCAGAAGGAAGAAGGAGGCAUCCUACAGAAUGUGGGGCAGGAGCCCAGACAUGAAGGGCAUACUUUGGGAAUGUCCAGUUCUCCAUUAUGAUAAGAGCAUUGGUGCAUAGACAGGCUGGAGUAGAUGGUAAGGUGAGCCAGAACUACUAAAAGAAUCUUCUGAGUAAUACAGUGGAGUUUGGAUUGUAAGCUCCUUAGACAGGAACUGUGACAUUCCCCCCUUCCCCCACUCCCUGGCAUCCAAUACAAAGCCUGACCCACAGUAGGUGCCCAAUGAAUGUUUUCUGAAUGAAUGAGAGCUUUCUUGGAGCGAUGAGGAACCAUCACAGUUUUUAAGCAGAGCCAUAAUGUUACUUCUUUGGGAAAGACAAUUUUUGUACUGAAAAAAA
rnacentral:lncRNA from 1 species